rnacentral:lncRNA from 1 species
UAGCGGUGCGAUUUUCUGCAUAGGGCAUGAUCUGCUACUUGCUUGCCCACGAGAUUUAUGCUGCACAUGCAUAUCAUAUGCUGACACGUCAUAAAAAAAAGAAACAAAUGGCUUUGAAAGAAAAGCUAGGCACGCAGACUUGGGAGAAAUACAACACAUGAUUUGUCCUCUUUCAACUACUCCUAUAUAAAUAGCAUAGCAGCUUUUCCAAUGGGGAGAAGGAUUUGACGCACGCCGAGAAGAACAAAAGCAGACGCAGCACUGUACACUUUGGUGAUUCAAGUGGCUCUCUACACAUUCAAUCACAAUUUUAUGUGUAAUUCUUUAUUCUCUAUUAUCUCUAAUUAAUAUUAUGAGUAGCUAAUUUUCCAAUUGUUAGGUUUGAGUAAACCUAGAUGACAAUUUUUAUUAUAUGAUUUGAUUUAUGACUAUUGAAGAAUUCUAUUGAUUAUUUUUCUUAUAUCCGUGUUUAAUGCUUUUAUCGAUUGAUCACCGUUAAAUUGAUUUACGAUUCAUAUUGUGAUACGGGAG